rnacentral:lncRNA from 1 species
CAUUGGUCCUGGUGCUGAUCCCUGAGGGACACCUCACCGAUCUCCAUCUGGACGUUAAGCCAAAGGAACAAGCUUGGUCAGGCAGGACUUGCCCUUGGUGAAGCCGUGCUGGUUAUUCUGUAUCACCUCUUCCAUAUGCCUUAGUGUAUCUUCAAGGAGGAUCUGCUCUAUGAAAUGUAUGACCACUGGAUAUAAGUAUUUCAUUUUUAAAAACAUGACUGGAUACAUCCAGGUCCAAUUCCCAACACUGCUAAGAACUGAGCAACUACGUCUGAAGAGAUUAAAAGCCAUGUGCAAGGAAUCUGGAUAAAAUAUCAGAAUGUAAGUAUGGGAUUUAUCCAUGUAGGUAUCCAUGUUUGUACCAUGCCAUGUUUUGAUAGUAACAUCUCAGUAAUUCCUUCCUAAAACUGCAUAUUUAAUCUUCUUUGCUUUAAAGAGAAUGUAGAUGCUCAUCUUAGGAAUGGAUGCCUACAUUGAGGGCAUUUAAGUUUAGAUGAGACCCAAUCCCUUGGUGUUUGUUGGUCACCAAUAUUGCGGAAUGCAAGAUCUGAGUCAUCACACUGAACACUGAAAACAAAAUGUGUUUUCUGAGCACUGUCUAUUUUAUUCACUAAAACAUGUAGGAGAUCCUUUAAAAAAGUGUUGUGUCAUAUGUUUCUGUAUUAUUAACCAUAUUAUUAUUAACCAUAUUAUGGUGAAUCUGUGCAAAGUGGUGCUGUCUGCAAAACCUUAAUUCUACCUUUUUUUUUUUUAACUUUUAAAUCCUUGGAGAAAUGCCGGUGUAUUCCUGGGAUUUUAGAAGUACAGAAGCCCUAACUUUUUCAUUUUCCCACAGAAUUCUAAGUUCUGGAAGUGGUGUACAAGAGUUGGUGAUGGUAAGAGGAAAAUGCAUGUUUGAGAAACAUGCUGCUGGUUUGAGAUCAGUCCUGUAAACACAGUGAGAAAUGUAAAAGCCCGGACCAGUUUGGAGAAGGCUGGGCUGGUGCUUGAGGGUGGUUUCCAUGCUGCAUCAGUGUGUGAGUCAUUAAACUGAUUGAAGCACAAGUAGCACUGUAAAUGGCAAGGCAGUGCAUAUCGUUAUUUAAUAUAACAGUCACAGGAAAAAAAAAUCAUUUAGAGGUACAGUAUUUCACCCAGACUUCUCCAAAAGAGUUCAGUGUUUAUCUAAAUUACAUGACAAGUGCAAUCCUCCACUAAGCAGUUGAUUUCCUUUGACUUUCUGAGUGCAUGUUACCACAUAAAGGCAUCUGUAUUCAGGUGCUCCUACACAGACUUUGGUAUCCCACUUGGAGCACUCUGAUUUGAAGCUGCUUGGCUUAGCAGCUGGGCUAGAAUUAUUAUUAAAGCCAUGAUGUACUUAAUAGCCAAAAAUAUCAGUAAGGUUUUAAAAGAAAAGCAAGAUAUUCUGCUAGCUUUGCAUAAGCCUUGCAGCUUGUUAAUGGUACUGUGGAAGGAGUCUUUGCCCCAUUCCAUCAAGCUGUUUUUGUGUGGUCUCUGUAAGAAUGGAGCAUCUGGCAGAGCAGACAAAAUCUGUGAGAAAACAUAAUAUAGAUGGAGGCUCAUGCCUUAAAUGUGUUUAAAUGACAAACUCUUCAAAUCAUCUAAGAAAUAGUCAGUCAGCCCUGCCACCAGCUUUUCUGAAUGUCCUAAUCUCCCCCUGCACACUGGGAGGAAGGUCAGUGCAGAGAGGGGAAAGCUUCCCGUCUUGUUUUCAAUUCAGACACAGAAAACCUUAAACAGUGCUAGACCACCCCAAAGGAGCCAUUCCUGAAAGCUUUGCUUUAAAUGUUUCUUAUGCUGUGCUGUAAAAAGCAACUGCCAACCCCUUGGCAGGCUUGGUGUUCAGCAGUGAACUUGAGCUGGGGAGGGGCAGAUCAUUUAAUAGUGACACCCCAUAAUUUGUUGUCACUGAAGUCCAUAUUUAUCCUAUUAAUAAAAGCGUGGC